AUUCUGCCCGUGGACGCCGCCGAAGAAGCAUCGUUAAAGUCUCUCUUCUCCCUGCGAUCAUGUCUAAGUCAGAGUCUCCUAAAGAGCCAGAACAGCUGAGGAAGCUCUUCAUUGGAGGAUUGAGCUUUGAAACAACCGAUGAGAGCCUGAGGAGCCAUUUUGAGCAAUGGGGAACGCUCUUAGACUGUGGUAAUGAGAGAUCCAAACACCAAGCGCUCCAGGGGCUUUGGGUUCGUCACGUAUGCAACUGUGGAGGAAGUGGAUGCAGCCAUGAACGCAAAGCCACACAAAGUGGAUGGAAGAGCUGUGGAACCAAAGAGAGCUGUCUCAAGAGAAGGUUCUCAAAGACCAGGUGCCCACUUAACUGUGAAAAAAAUAUUCAUUGGUGGCAUUAAAGAAGACACCGAAGAACAUCACCUAAGAGAUUAUUUUGAACAGUAUGGAAAAAUUGAAGUGAUUGAAAUCAUGACUGACAGAGGCAGUGGCAAGAAAAGGGGCUUUGCCUUUGUAACUUUUGAUGACCAUGACUCCGUGGAUAAGAUUGUCAUUCAGAAAUACCAUACUGUGAAUGGCCACAACUGUGAAGUUAGGAAAGCCCUGUCAAAGCAAGAGAUGGCUAGUGCUUCAUCCAGCCAAAGAGGUCGAAGUGGUUCUGGAAACUUUGGUGGUGGUCGUGGAGGUGGUUUCGGUGGGAAUGACAACUUUGGUCACGGAGGAAACUUCGGUGGUCGUGGUGGCUUUGGUGGCAGCCGUGGUGGUGGUGGAUAUGGUGGCAGUGGGGAUGGCUAUAAUGGAUUUGGUAAUGAUGGAGGCAAUUUUGGAGGUGGUGGAAGCUACAAUGAUUUUGGCAGUUACAACAAUCAGUCUUCAAAUUUUGGACCCAUGAAGGGAGGAAACUUUGGAGGCAGAAGCUCUGGCCCCUAUGGUGGUGGCAGCCAAUACUUUGCCAAACCACAAAACCAAGGUGGCUAUGGCAGUUCCAGUAGCAGCAGUAGCUAUGGCAGUGGCAGAAGAUUUUAAUUAGGAAACAAAGCUUAGCAGGAGAGGAGAGCCAGAGAAGUGACAGGGAAGCUACAGGUUACAACAGAUUUGUGAACUCAGCCAAGCACAGUGGUGGCAGGGCCUAGCUGCUACAAAGAAGACAUGAUUUA